rnacentral:lncRNA from 1 species
AGGUAAAAACCACUUUGCUGUUUUCCCUUUGCUCAAAUUAGGCUCUUCGGUUCAGCCCUGCUUCCCCAUGUCUCCCUGGACUGCUUUCCACAGCCCUCCUUGAUGCUGGGUGGCUGUUUCAUCCACUGCCCCUGCCAUACUCCUUUCAUUAAAGUCAGGGGUUCUCAAGGUGGAAAAAAACCUGUGGGCUCAGUGAUACACCUACCUCCCUUUAGGUAAAUAGUAGAUUUGGCAGUCUGCCGUCUCAGCAUUUAUCUGUUACUA